rnacentral:ncRNA from 2 species
AAGCAUUCCGAGGGGGGCUCCGAGUACGGGAGCUGAGAUUGGGCGCGUCGCCCUGACCCUUGAACCUGAUCCGGUUCGUACCGGCGGAGGGACGGGAAUCUCAACGACG